UUUGACAACCAGAAGGUGUACGCCGUGUACCGCGGCCCGGAGGAGCUGGGCGCCGGGCCCGAGAGCCCCCCGCGCGCCCCCCGCGACUGGGGAGCGCUGCUGCUCCACAAGGCCCAGAUCCUGGCGCUGGCAGAAGACAAAUCUGACCUUGAAAACAGUGUGAUGCAGAAGAAAAUAAAAAUCCCCAAACUUUCUCUCAAUCACGUAGGAGAAGAUGGGGAGGUUAAAGAUUAUGGGGAAGAAGAUUUACAGCUUAGACACAUCAAGAGACCCGAGGGGCGGAAGCCGAGCGAAGUGGCGCAUAAGAGCAUUGAGGCCGUGGUGGCCCGGCUGGAGAGGCAGAACGGCCUGAGCCUGGGCCACAGCACGUGUCCAGAGGAGGUCUUCGUGGAGGCCUCGCCGGGCACGGAGGACAUGGACAGUCUGGAGGACGCCGUCGUGCCCCGGGCUCUGUACGAGGAGCUGCUGCGCAACUACCAGCAGCAGCAGGAGGAAAUGCGUCACCUCCAGCAGGAGCUGGAGCGGACUCGGAGGCAGCUGGUCCAGCAGGCCAAGAAGCUCAAGGAGUACGGGGCACUCGUGUCGGAAAUGAAGGAGCUCCGUGACCUCAACCGGAGGCUCCAGGACGUGCUGCUCCUAAGGCUCGGCAGUGGUCCCGCCAUUGACUUGGAAAAAGUAAAGUCAGAAUGUCUCGAGCCCGAGCCGGAGUUACGGAGCACUUUCAGUGAGGAAGCAAAUACGUCGUCCUAUUACCCCGCUCCUGCACCUGUCAUGGACAAGUAUAUCCUAGACAAUGGCAAGGUCCAUCUGGGAAGCGGGAUUUGGGUUGACGAGGAGAAGUGGCACCAGCUACAAGUCACCCAAGGAGAUUCCAAGUACACAAAGAACUUGGCAGUCAUGAUUUGGGGAACAGAUGUUCUGAAGAACAGAAGCGUCACAGGAGUUGCCACAAAAAAAAAGAAAGAUGCGGUCCCUAAGCCACCCCUCUCGCCUCACAAACUAAGCAUUGUCAGAGGUACCGAUGAAGGUGGUGAAGCAUCAUCGCAUGUUAUGGCAGGACAAAGAGGGCCGCGUUCGGCGUGGUGGUUGGAGCAGGCCUGCUUGAAGAGGCUGGGGACUGGCGGCGGAGGAGGCAGCCCUGGAGGUCUGAGGGGUGGUAUGACAGGUGCUGAGGCCAGCACGCUCGAGGGGUGAGGAAGCUCCAGACAGCCACAGGGUCACAAGUGAGGGGAGAGUGAGGUCAGGGAGGUGGGCGAGAGCAGGUCUUGAGGGCCACGAAGGCCACGUGAAACGGUUUAAGUCUACUGUACUCACAGGAGAAGGGCAGUAGGGUCUGCAGAUCGUGAGUGACCAGAUGGGAGAUCAGUCAGGACACUCAUGCCGUGGUCUCAGGUCAGACGAUGGUGCCGUGGACUAAGGCUAUAGCAGUGGGAAUGGUGGGAUACGGCCAGAGUUAGGGUAUGUUUUAGAGGUCAAGAUAGCAGGACUCAGUGAGGUUCAGUGCUCCGGCUGAGGUUGAAGCCGUAAGGUUCAGGCCCAUGCCACCCUGACUCUGGUGUGGGGCUUAUUCUGCCCUAGCUCAGCUGCCCUCCUUGCCCAGCUGACUCAUGACUCUUUGAGUCAGGCAGCCACUUAUUUUCAGACAGGCAGGUAACCUUUAAUCUGCUUGCUGUCUGAAAUGGUGGGUCCUGAGUUGGGAGGUCUCCCUGAGAAAGAGGCCUUCCUAGGGACACAGUCCUGCCCUACUGGCUAGGUGACCGACCUCUGAUUCCAUUAUACUUGUUGGAAGGUGACUCAGCAGGUCCCAGAUGCCUUCCAGUGACUGGCUGGCCCACCAUUGUCAUGUUGUGGUCUAAAAUCAUCUGCUGUGUGCCUGCCUCAGGCACGAGUCUGACCUUCUCUGAUUCAUCUCCACAUCCUCAUUGCCUGGCACAGGGCCUGACACACAGUAGGAGCUCAAUAAAUGAAGUUUGAACAAGUGAAUCACUGAGAGCGGCAAGCUGAUCCCCUGACUGACCCUUGGUGUGAUUUCUUUUUUUUUUUUUUAAGAUUUUAUUUAUUUAUUUGACAGAGAUAGAGACAGCCAGCGAGAGUGGGAACACAAGCAGGGGGAGUGGGAGAGGAAGAUGCAGGCUCAUAGUGGAGGAGCCUGAUAUGGGGUUCGAUCCCAUAACGCCGGGAUCACACCCUGAGCCGAAGGCAGACGCUUAACCGCUGUGCCACCCAGGCGCCCCCUUGGUGUGAUUUCUUGUCAGUCGCUUCCCCUCCAUGUCUGAGUUUCCUCAGCUGAAAACUUCCCUCUUCAGGCAACUGAAAGGGUAGGAUUGUAGCUUGGACAUAGUUAUGUUCCAACUAUGAAAGAAGUUACCAUUCUUUGUUGACGACUGCACUGCCUGCGUGGAGCCGACGUGACCCCAUGAUGACCACAUCGCUGAAGCUCACGGUCUUUCAGUGCUCCCCAGCUUGCAGCCUCUCUCCCGUCCACUCCCGGUGCAGGGCGAUGGCAGGUCGAAAUAGGAACCAGGUAUCGAAAGCCCGGAUUCGAGCCGCAGCUCUGCUUUGGUUUAGCUUUGAGCUUACCCUGGGUCAUACUACGUUCCCUUUGUUUCCCAAGCUUAGUGCGGUGCCAGUACUGAGCAGACACUUGGUGUCUCCAUCUGUAAAGCCAGGAUCGCCGUCCUUCUUUCUCCUGGCUACCCAGUGGCCCACAGAGACAUUUUGACUGUUCUUUAGACCCCAUUCAGAUGAUGUCCUGUGCCGCUAUCCCGGCCCCCAGUGCCACAGAACCGUCUACAGCACCGCUCAGCUGUGUGCCAUGGGGCCAUCCCAGACUCAGGUCUUCAGCCCCACCUGCCAAACCCCCCCCACCAGGUUUUCCUCACUGAUUCACUCCUCCAUUUCCCAAGCCCUUUUUAAACCUUCUCUGCUUUUCCUAGUAUGAUAGUCCACACCUCCGUCUUUCUCACAAGAUGGCCUUGCCACUUCCUUCAUAGAGAGAAGGAACUCCCACAGCUCUGAACUGCAGACUUCAUUAUAGACUUAACCGUACCCUCCAUUCUUCUGCCUCAUGGCCCCAAAGAGGAGUUUCCUUCUCUUAUUGGGGGCUGGCCAUUCUCUCCACCUGGAUCCCAGCCCACCUGCCUUCCUAAGUACCUCGUUCCUCCAGUUAUGCUCCCGUGCUCCCGCUUCCUUCCCAGCAUCAUUUAAAUAGACUUUGACCCCUCACUUCUUAUGAAAACAAAUAAAACACUCCCUAGAGGCCACGCCUACCACCUAGCUGCUGCCAUGUCUCUUUUCCUUUUCACAUCCAGGUUUCUUGAAAGGGUUGUCUGCACUCACUGCCUGUGUUCACUUGUAAUGCCCCUGCUGUCUGGUGUCUACUCCCAGCCUUUGACUUUGUCUGUUCUUGCCUCGUUUCCCACAGACUUCCUCCUCUCCGAGUCCACUCCCGGUGCUUCUCCUCCUCCCCAGACUGUCUGACACAACCACUCCUCCCUUACUGAGGAACCAUCCUGCAUGUUCUGUUGCCUCCUGCCUCCCUGGCUUCUCAUCCCCCUUGUGGGCUCCUCUUCGGCUGCCCUGGCCUCUGUCCCCACAGCGUCCUCUCUCUCACUCCACAGAGCUUUCCCCAGCUGAUCUCACUUCCCACCGUGUGGCUGGCCCUCAGUGCACCCACGGCCCAGGCUGAAAUCCACACUCCUUGUCCUGGCUCAUGGCUGGUGGCCUGGCCUCUGGGGACCCCUCUGCCCCCCCAUUUCCCACUGUGCUCUAACCACAGGGGCCUCUUUCCUCUUCUUCACCAUCUGCCCUGCACACCCUGCCUCCUUCUGGUCAUCCUGGAAGGCCUUCCCCAACAGCCCAGUCUGCAGGAGCCUUCUGUUGCUCUCCGGCAUGUCAGCACCCCCUACAGAGUCUCUGCGUGGCGUUUCUUGUCUGCUCCUUUACUGGGUAAUUAAUUAUCUUUCCCCCACACCCGUUAGAAUGUGAGCUUUGUGAGCAUCUCGUGCAGGCAGGUAGUGAGUGCUCUGUAAACAGCUGCUGACUCAGCGAAUGGCGCUCCCAAAUCUCUCCUCGCCCCGGUCCGCACUGCUGAGUCCCGAGCCGUGAGUUCAGAUGCCCGCUGGCCGUCUCCUCUCAGAUGCCCGCGUGGUGCUGGCACGACUGCACCCCGCCCUGCUCGCUCCUUUCUCCUCACCCCACAGCCUUGUGCCCCUCCAUCUCCCCUGUCUUGGGGAAGGGCACCGCCAGCCGGGGGCCCAGAGAUGCGUCACGCUUGCCUCCUCCGCAUGCCUCGUUCUGUCUGUUCUUCCCCUGGAUACGUCUUAAACCACCCACUUCUCUCCGUGCCCCACUGCACCUUUCGUAGUCAGGCCAUCAUCAGGUCCCCCCUACACGACUCCAGCAGCUUCCAGACUCUUCUCCCCAUUAUGUAACCAGAGUGAUCUUUCAGAAACCAAACAUGAUCCUGUCACCACCACCCCGUCACAGCCAGUCCAUGGCGCCCAUUAUUAAAAGAGUGUUUGUAUGACAGAAUAGCACAAGAAACUGUGGAUGAAACUGAAAUUGCACAGAGACUCUCCAAAGUCAACAAGUACAUCUGUGAAAAAAUCAUGGAUAUCAAUAAAUCCUGUAAAAAUGAAGAACGAAGG